GUGCUCGCUUCGGCAGCACAUAUACUAAAAUUGGAACCAUACAGAGAAGAUUAGCAUGGCCUCUGCGCAAGGAUGACACGCAAAUUCAUGAAGCGUUCCAUUAAAAA
rnacentral:snRNA from 1 species